UAGCUCAGUCAGUUGAGCGUGGUGCUAAGAACACCAAGGUCACGGGUUCGAUUCCUGU
rnacentral:tRNA from 1 species